rnacentral:misc_RNA from 1 species
UUUCCGUAGGUGAACCUGCGGAGGGAUCAUUACAGAGUUCAUGCCCGAAAGGGUAGACCUCACACCCUUGUUGAUGAUUACCUUGUUGCGUUGGCGCGCGCAACCACGCGAGAGAAUACCAAAACUUUUUUUAUUAAUGUCGUCUGAGUACCAUAUAGUAGUUAAAACUUUCAACAACGGAUCUCUUGGUUCUG